rfam:Clostridiales bacterium 1_7_47_FAA cont2.114, whole genome shotgun sequence.
GUAUCAGUAAUGGUAUAGAUGAAGGAAGUGGUGUAGCAAAGUUCUUGAGCCUACGUACAGAAACUUGAUAAGGCGAUGAGGUGGGUAAGGUUGCUAGACAAACCAAAGCCCCAAAGGUAAACGUAUAACCGAAGUUGUAAAUCAAGAGGUUGUGGAACGAAAGAUGAGUGU